rnacentral:rRNA from 1 species
UACGUAGGGUGCAAGCGUUUAAUCGGAAUUACUGGGCGUAAAGCGUGCGCAGGCGGUUAUGUAAGACAGGUGUGAAAUCCCCGGGCUUAACCUGGGAACUGCAUUUGUGACUGCAUAGCUAGAGUACGGUAGAGGGGGGAUGGAAUUCCGCGUGUAGCAGUGAAAUGCGUAGAUAUGCGGAGGAACACCGAUGGCGGAAGGCAAUCCCCCUGGACCUGUACUGACGCUCAUGCACGAAAAGUGUGGGGGAGCAAACAGGAUUAGAAA